rnacentral:piRNA from 1 species
UGCCACGCCACAGCUUUUCCUCGGCCAC